rnacentral:rRNA from 1 species
UACGGAGGGUGCGAGCGUUGUCCGGAAUCACUGGGCGUAAAGGGCGCGUAGGCGGCUUGGUAAGUAGGGGGUGAAAUCCUGCGGCUUAACCGCAGGGCUGCCUUCUAAACUGCCAGGCUUGAGCACAGUAGAGGCAGGUGGAAUUCCCGGUGUAGCGGUGGAAUGCGUAGAGAUCGGGAAGAACAUCGGUGGCGAAGGCGGCCUGCUGGGCUGUUGCUGACGCUGAGGCGCGACAGCGUGGGGAGCAAACAGG